ACCUUGAUGUCUAUUUACACAAAAACAAAUCUAAGGUAGCAGCAAGAUAAGCAUGGAUGGGGAAGAUGCUAGCAACUGUGACAACCAGGACCAAAGAUGGAAAUUGCCUGGCCAAAUCCUCCAUGCAGAGCUUGAGUCCUGGAAAUUUCAGGUUGUACCUUCCCUGGCAUUCUCUUUCUGUCUCUUUUCGGCUUCCUUUUGUGUGUUUUCUCCC